rnacentral:lncRNA from 1 species
CGGGGUGCAACUAGAUCAAGGUGAAGUUGGGUUGGAUCAAAUAUUCUAAACAAGCAGAGCAAAGAGUGGAACAAGUGCUCUAAACAAGCAGGGCAUAGAGUGGAACAAGUGCUCUAAGCAAGCAGUUAAUCUGUGAGGGGCCACUUAGAAGAGCAACAAGAUCAUGAGACAGACACUGAGCAAGAAUAGCAAGAAAAGUCAAGACUAGAUCAAAAAAAAAAUUGUGAUAGUAUAUAGAAGAGAGUCGUGUUGAAAACGUGUUGAGAUUGUUUAGAAAGAUACAAGAGUAAUAGUAACUAAUACAUACACACAAGAGUAGUAGUAAGUCAUACACACAAGAGGGUUUUUAAGGAGAGAGAGCUUG